GGAGAAAUUCCAAUCGAACCCGGAGAUAGCUGGUUCUCCCCGAAAUAGCUUUAGGGCUAGCGUUGAUUUAGAUUACCGGAGGUAAAGCACUGAAUGGGCUAGGGGGCGAUAAGCUUACUGAACCCUAUCAAACUCUGAAUGCCGGCUAAUUGAUGAUCAGCAGUCAGACAGUGUGAGAUAAGUUUCAUUGUCAAAAGGGAAACAGCCCAGACCUACAGCUAAGGUCCCAAAUGUAUGCUAAGUGGAAAACGAUGUGGAGUUGCGAAAACAACCAGGAUGUUGGCUUAGAAGCAGCCACUCAUUAAAAGAGUGCGUAAUAGCUCACUGGUCGAGUGACUCUGCGCCGAAAAUUUAACGGGGCUAAACUAUACACCGAAGCUUGGGAUACAUCUAAUGUAUGGUAGGAGAGCGUUCUGUAUGGGGAGAAGUCGUAGCGAAAGCGGCGGUGGACUAUACAGAAGUGAGAAUGCCGGAAUAAGUAGCGAGAAUUAAGUGAGAAUCUUAAUGGCCGAAAGUCUAAGGUUUUUGGAGGAAGGUUCGUCCGCUCCAAGUAAGUCGGGAGCUAAGGUCAGGCCGAAAGGCGUAGCCGAUGCACAUACGGUUGAUAUUCCGUAACCAUCUGUAAUUUAAGCAAAGGGACACUUCAAAAGGGUGUGACCCGGGCGUUGGUUGACCCGGGCGUAAGGGACCGAAAUUAGAGUAGGGAAGCACACUUAGCUGAAGGCGAGAAAAGCUUUGCGUAUAGAAGCAGAUGCCCGUACCGCAAACCGACACAGGUGGACAGGAAGAGAAUUCUAAGGCCAGCGGGAGAAGGGUAGUUAAGGAACUCGGCAAAUUGACUCCGUAACUUCGGAAUAAGGAGUGCUCGAAAGAGCCGCAGAGAAUAGGCCCAGGCGACUGUUUAGCAAAAACACAGGUCUCUGCCAAAUCGAAAGAUGAAGUAUAGGGGCUGACACCUGCCCGGUGCUGGAAGGUUAAGAGGAGAUGUGCAAGCAUUGAAUUGAAGCCCCAGUAAACGGCGGCCGUAACUAUAACGGUCCUAAGGUAGCGAAAUUCCUUGUCAGGUAAGUUCUGACCCGCACGAAAGGCGUAAUGAUUUGGGCACUGUCUCAACAGCCCGCCCGGCGAAAUUGUAGUACCGGUGAAGAUGCCGGUUACCCGCGACAAGACG
rnacentral:rRNA from 1 species